UUUAAUCAUGUCCAAGUGAGAGUGAGAAUGGGCAUCCGAAACCCGCUGAUUUUGCUUGAUGAGCUGAUGAGAAGUUGCAGUUUUGGAGCAUUGACACAGGCACAGAAUGCAAGCCACUAGCUUUUUAUGUGCUUCAUUUUCUUGAGGAUCUUGUGCUGUGCUACAAGAUGGUCAACAGGUGGAGAUGUUGCUGAAGGUAUCAGAGUUCAUUUCAUGAGAAGACAUCAGUAUAUUCCAGUUAUUGGUCAGUAACACGAGAUUUGGAGGAUGUCACUGGGUCCUCCUUACAUGUGGAUUUGUUUCCUUGAAAUUCAGAUGUCAAUUCUCCCAUACAAGCUGUACUUGUCAGAACAAGCAACCAGGCUCUGCAUGCCAUGAGUCAAAUUUAUGUUGUCCCUUCAAGGAAGGACACAUCGGUUAAUGAUUUUCCAUGAUGUGUCGUUUAGAAAGCUUUGAUGUCAAACAUCUCUAAAAUAAAAUUUAAUCUUGAAGUGACUCA